UUUCCACUAGAAUAACACCCCCGAUGUCCCCGGCAGCCAAGGCCCCUGUCCAAACCCCCUCUGCUUAUGCCAAGCAACAUUCUGGCCUAGGUGUGCAUGCCUCAAGGCCAGUGUGCACUACAUAGAGUGACCUGAGAAAUUUGGUUGAUGGCAUGUAUUCUUUUGCACACACAAACCCUGUUCCAUUCCAAAGGAAGGAAUGUCAGAAAGGAAGGUUGUCAGACAGAAUACAGAGGGACUUAAAGGGAUGAGCCUGGAAAAGCAGAUCAAAGGGCCAAAAACUUGUACUUCUGGGGCACCGAGAGCACAGAAAGUCAGAAAAAUAAAGCUUUUCUUUAUAUAUGUACAUAGCUAAGCUUUACAAAGAAAAAUGUCUCAAAGGUAAGAGACAACGCCCCCUAGGCUCCAAGUGCAGUGACUGGGUCAGACAUACAAACUCCUGUGCAUUCCUACGCGGGAGUGGUCCAGAGAAAGCCCUGGCCAUGCAGGACCUGCCUCACACAGUGUGUAUGAGAUGGGAAGGCUUGGAGACCCAUCAUAAACAACCAGAACAAAAGACUCAGAGACAAAACACUGUUAAUCCUUGCAGCCACCAGAAGACUAUAAAUUGCUAAGCCAAGAGACCAGCAUUUUUUCUCUCCUACUAGACUUAGAUUAAAGAUGAGUCUUACAUCUCAUACCCAACCCAAGUCUUUAAAACAUACAUUGUUUAAUCUUUUUGAAGUUCUAACCCUGAAAGAUUUAUACUGGAAAAUGGAUUUGAGAAAAAUAUCACCCUGAAGCACUACCCAAGAGGAUGCAGUGGACAGCACACUUUUCAUUACCACUGAGAAAGCCAGACAAAGGCUGUUGAGGCACGUGCACUCAGUUCAAACUUGGCUAGCAGUAACUGUGUCCCUGCUCUCUCUGAGGUACAGGAGUUUUCCAUCUAUAAAAUAUGAAUUUCACCUUUUCUCUCUAGGGCAGCUGUGAGGGUUAAAAAUAAUAAUAAUAAUAAAACAAACUAAUGUACCAACCAGAAGGACAGCACUCAAUAACUGACACGGGUGUCACCACCUCUGAUCCCAAGCACCACCAGGUACUGCAUCUGAGCCUCAGGGGCAAUGAAAUCCAGCUUUUUGUUUUUCUUUUUUAAUAAUUUAUUUGUUUUUAGAGCACUGAUUGGUGUUUUGCCUACUUGUAUGUCUGUAUGAAGGGCCCAGAUCUCCUAGAAUUGGAAUUACGACCUAUGGUUGUAGCUGCCAUGUGGUUGCUUGGCAUUGAGAACUGGGGUCAUCUAGAAGAGAAGCCAGUGAACACCCUUGACCACUGAGUGAGUCAUCUCUCCAGCCCAGAAGCCCAGUUUUCGUGAAGGAGGGAUUCUUGUUUCUGGAGAGUUCACCUUGGAGAAUAGAAUCAGACAGCUGGCUUUAACUUAAGAAACUAUCAAGAAACCCUUUAAUACAGUUCUCAUGGUGUGGUGACCCCUCCUCCAAUCAUAAAAUUAUUUCCUUUGCUUCUUCAUAAUUACAAUUUUGCUGUUAUGAAUUGUAAUAAAACUGUUUUCUGCGGGGCUUAGGCAACCCCUGUGAAAGGGUCACUUGACCUCCCCAAGAGGUUGAGAACAGAUGACUCAGUCAUCAAAGGAUCCCAGGAUAAGAGGAAGACCACAUCUCUGCUUAUGGAGUCCCUACCUGCAGUUUCCUACCCACAGCUCAGCUGGCCACAUACAUCUACAAAACAACAGCCUUCCAAAGUACUCCAGGCCCUUAAGAGAAAUCCCUACCACCACUCUCUAGGUCCAAACUCCGUUUAGAUCUUCACUGUCCUGAACAUACACCUGUGACAUCCCAUGAAGACAUCCUGCUGGGCCUCAUGCUACUAGCAGUUAACUCAGACCUGACAAAGCAGCCUCACCAGGUGGUUCCUUGAUCUAGGGAAGCUCUUCUUUUAAAUGUGCCCACAUCCUGGGCCUCAACAAAGGUUGAGGAGUGUUUUUUUUUUUUUUUUUUAAACAGAGCCUCACUGUGAUACCCAGGCUGGGCGCAAAUUCCCAGGCUCAGGCAAUCCUCUGUCUCCAGCCCACUGAGGAGUGGCUAGACAGGUGCAUCCAUGCCCAGCUUACAUGAGGUACUCCAGCUUGAGACCCCUCGGACUAUGACAGUGUGCCUUUACCAGUGUUCUCUUGUCAUCUCCUGGAUGAGGAAAGAGCAGCCAGCUAGGCCAUUAGAAGAACAUAGCUCUUCCUUCCUUAGAACCUACUAAGAACCUGCCAGAUGCCUGCUGUCAGCACAGGCACCAAAGAACACUGGUGAGUCAAAUCCUAUUCUGCUCUCAUACCGUCCCAGUCCUAGCAAGGGACAACUGACACAACACCCAAGGAGCAUGAGGAAAUAGGAUGUCACAUCUGAACUGUGACAGCAGCUUCUGUGACCAAGAAGCAACAGCAGGAGCAAAGUAACUGUUGACAUAUUUAAAGAGUGGAAAAGUCGACAGCAUGACUGAAGGUCAGAAACAUGGGAAAGUAGUUGCUGAGGAGGCUCCAGGGAAGGAGAGCCUGGGUACUGAGCCUGGAACAAAGAGGCUGGAUUAAUCCAAAUACAAGAAUGUACAGGGGAGUCAAGAGCAAUAGUGCAUGCCUUUAAUCCCAGCACCUGGGAGGCAGACAGGAGGAUCUCUAUGAGUUCUAGGCUUGCCUGGUCUACUUGGUGAGACCCAGAACAGUUAGAGGUAGAGACCGUGCCUCAAAAACCAAAUCAAACAAAAACAUACUGAGAAUCUAGAAGCAAGGGCUAACAUGAUCUGAUGAGCCCCUGAAAAUGACCCCACCCACUGUUCAGGCAGCAGAGGGUGAAUGGCAGGAUUCCAAAGGCACUGUCAAGAUUUGGCCUGUAGCCAGUUCAGGAAGGCCUCAUCCGAAAACCAGAGUGAUGCUUCUCCACAGGACACUGCCCAGUCACAAGGUCCUGGGCACAGGCCUGGGCCAGAGCAGGCACUCAAGCAGCUGCAUGCUUCCCUUCAAAAGGAAAAGCUCCAUCUUCCCUCUUCCUUAAGAAAGAAGGUAGGGAUCCGAUCUCCUUAAGGAAGGAUGGUCUUAUCACUCCAGUGAGGUCUGGCCACAUUGUAAGACCAGGAAGGAAAGUUUUCUCAAGCUAUGAAGCAAGAAGAGCAACAACGGGAUACGAGAGCACAGAUCCCCUAGUACAGGUGUAUAGUCUCAAUCAAAACACCACUGCUUGGGCUUAAGCCAUUUGAUCAUAUACACCUGGCUAAAGCUUUUGCCUCAUAAAGGUUCUGUGUAAAUGUACAUAUUAGAAGCAGUGGGCAGAAAUUCAGGAAACUGGGGCACAUUGAAAGGUCUCAGCUUGGGAGGCAGGCAGGCCUUGACAAUCCAGCUGACUAGCUGCCUUCCUUAGUGGCUACACAAUAAACACGCUUCCAGCAAAGUUUGUCCAAGAAGUGAAAUGUUUGAGAAGAGCCAUGCCAGAAAGUAACUGCACAGUCACCAUUAUUCACUAGUGACGUAAGAUUGAGAGCAAGGUUCAAAGGGCACGGAGCUAGUAAGGAAAAAAGCUGCGAACCCAAUUCUGUACAUCUCUAAAACAAUGUCUGUCCUUCUGCCCUGGCCUAGAUUUUAGAUUCUCCUCUUACAGUUGAGCUACAUCCAACACUGUUAUUAUAGGUUCAAAAUAUAGUAAGCUAAGAAAUGCACUGAAUACACAGAAGCUCUGGGCCUGCCAGCUCAGCAACCAGAGUUGGGUACACAGAGAUUUGCACUCUCGACCUCAGGGCCGACUAGGAGCUGCAGAUUGCUGCACUGCUCAGUGUCAUGAGAACCAACCAUGUGACGAACCAGGAAAGGUCAAAACUCCACUGAACUUGUAACACUUACACACCAUCAUAAAGAUGAAAAUUAUAGUUAUUACAAGUCAGAUUCUAUAUUUUCCAGAAAAAAACUUCAUCUUUCUUUCUUUCUUUCUUUUUCUUUGCAAUACUGGGGGGGGGGGGGGGAGGCGGGUGGAAUCUAGUGCAUCCUGCACACUAAGCAGGUACUCCACCACUGAGGGACAUGCCAACCCCACUUUCUAGUUUCUACCCUGUAGUGUUCCAUCUCCAAUUUACACUAGCUUAGAGUACAUUUCCUAAAAUGUAUUUGAACACAACCAGUCAGAAUUUAGUGGGAGUUUUCAGUUUAGUUUACUGUGUGGCCCUUGAUAGUCUUUAAUGAGUGAAUCCUGAACUCAAUAGAUACUGUGCAGGAGAGUAACUCUGGCAGGUAAGCCUCCAUUUCCACUUCAGUGAAACAAGGAAACAGUCUUAGGCUGCCUGCAGCACAGAGAAAGGGAGGCCACACAGCUGGAAUGACCCACCUGCCCCAUAUACAUGCUUCCAGGCUUACAGCACACUGCUGGAAAGAAACCCAGGGCAAGCGGAGAAGCAGGAAAUGGGUCACUGGAGCUACAGCAGGUAGACUCAGCCACACCUCCUUUUGUGCUGGGUGCUUACAAACAGGUUAUGGGGUUCUGUUCUUAGAUUUAAGUGUAGUUAAAUGGGUUUGCAAAAGGAAUUUAAAAAGACAUAGCAACAGUUUCCUGUAGACGAAUGGGAGGGGUCACGCUGAGCAAGGAAGGGAGGUUACAAGACCUUUUAUUUAUAAUGGCCUAUUCCUAAGUGGCCUGUAAUUAAAGACUAAUUAAGUGGUACAGAUCCUAGAAGCAGAUUUUAGCAGUGCCCAUCAUGACUGAAAACACGCAGGCCCUUUGCCUUAGCUAGUUCACACAUAACUUAUCCUGUUACACUAGUGCACAUCCCAAAACCUUCUGGGCUAGAGUUAUUCACUGCAUUAUGAAUAGCAGCCAACUCUGGGAAAGUCACGAGGGUCAGUCAAGAAAAUGUUGGUAUAAAAGUACAAAGGAACUUUAUGUGUAGAUAUAGUCUCCAGACAGUGAUGGUUUGUGUAUAAAGGGGACUGGGGGAUGAGAUCCUGAGAGAGCCUAGAGCACUUGCCUCUUAUCAAGGCACUAGGCUCUACCCACUACCCCAACCGACCACAAGUAGUACAACAGAAGGAAAAAAACAGGAUCUUUCAUUUCUGCACCUUGUCUGCGUUUCUGUGUAUGUUUCCUGAAACCAUCCAUACACACAGGAAACUGAGAGCAGUGUUUGGGACAGAGAACCAGGAGACCAAAGGACAGGAAAGCAUCUCGGUGCACGGCAGUGAAGGUGAGAACUGUGUCCGCGUCUGCGGGCUGUGAGUUCGAGACCACAAGCCUUCCGGGCUGGUGGCCAGGCCUAGGCUGUCAGGCCGCCAUCCAUCCCGCGAGCUCGGACCCCGAGCCCGGCUCCCGCCCCGGCCCGCGCUCACCGCCAAUGAUGGUCCGGAUGAGGGAGGCGUGCCCGGGGCAGUCGACCAGUGUGACCUGCAGCAGCGUGUCGCUAGAACCGGGUUCUGCCCCCGGCAGCGGCACGACAAAACAGGAGAAGCCCAGGUCGAGCGUUAUGCCGCGCUCGCGGCUCUGCGGCUGCUUGUCGAAGGCAGCAGUGGAGGCCGUGGUGCUCAGCGCGCGCGCCAGCGCUGUUUUGCCACUGUCGAUGUGACCCAGCACGCCCACAUUCACAUUUACCCGCCGGCCGGCCAUCCCGCCGCUGCCUCUCACGCCGUCGCCUGAGCGCCAGCCCCGCGGUCCGCCUGCUAAGCCGCACCCCCCCGCAACCCGCGCUGAGCGCACCGGUUCCGGCACGGAAGCUUCCGCCCUCGGGCGCCCACAGCCCUAUGGCAGAGCGCACACAGGGCGGGACAAGAGCCGGCCUGCUACCUGGGUUUGCUGUCAUCCGGCUCCCCACGCCACAAAGUCUCGCCAGUCUGAGAUUAGGGAUUCCUCCUUCCAUCCAUUCAUCCAUCCAUGCAUCCAUCCAUCCAUCUCACCAUCUAUCCAUCCAUUCUUCCUUCCCUCCCUCCUUUCAUCAUUCCACUCACCCAGUCCAUCCACACAUCCCUUCCUCUAUCCCUCCAUACACACUCAUCCAUCCGUCCAUUCAUUUCUGUCAGCCUUUAUUUUUUUGUUUGUUUGUUUGUUUGUUUUUUGUUUUUUUCAAGACAGGGUUUCUCUGUAUAGUCUUGGCUGUCCUGGAACUCACUUUGUAGACCAGGCUGGCCUUGAACUCAGAAAUCCGCCUGUCUCUGCCUCCCAAGUGCGCCACCACCGCCCGGCUGUCAGCCUUUAUUAAGUGCAGACUGUAUACACUUUACUGGGAUGUGGUGAUCGACAUUAUUUGCUGUGAAAACAGGAGUAAGUAAAACCCAAGACCAGUUGCCAAGCCAGACUAUCUGGAAAGGACAGAGAUGGGAAGGCGGGGAGCCUAGUGAGGAAGAUACCCUCAAGGACUGUCACUAGACGUCCAGUGCAGACUGAGAAUUGACCAUCAGAAACCUGGAAGCACUGUGAAAAGAGGAAGAGGUCCUCGUUGAUUCAGGGGAGGGGAGGUGGGGGUGGGGACGGGACAAAAACCUCACUUUGAAGUCUAGGCUGCCAUGAGGAGCUGCAACUUAACUGUUGUGUAUGAACUUGAAUGUGUCGUGAGUGCUAUACCAACCAGCCUCUGUAACCCCCUUCAGGCAUUGAAAGGUGCCUAGAACCAUGAAAGAGGUCACAAGCCUAAGUGGUUGCUCUGGCAAAGGAUAAAAGCCUAGGAAAAGAAGGGACUUGGGGCCUCACAGGGGAGGAAUGGCACUGGAGAGCUGAAUGGCACUGCUCUCAUGUAAAGGGGGUGGGGCUUGCUGGCCCAACAUUCCCAGCCUUCCUUUUUCUAGGGCAGGAGGGGUUGCGGUUUGCAAGUGAAUUGGUUUACACGGGCUUGUGUGCUAAAUGCUUGGGCCCCAGCUGGUGGUCUGUCUUAUGAGAUGAAGCUUAGCAGAAGGCAGUAGUCGCUUCCUGUCCACCAUGAAAUGAGUAGUUCAGUCAGGCUGCUCCGUUCUGCUGUCACCAGGACAAUAUACUGCUGUGCUGCCACAGGCUAGGGGGAUCAAGCCCAAGAGACCAUGCACUGAAAUCUCUAAAACCAUGAAGUCAAACUAAAGUCUCUUUCUCUCUUUGUCUGUGUAGCUGUUUCAUCACAAUGAUGCAGCCUAACAUAAAGCCUGACUUCAGAGUGCUGACAAAUAUUUUAGCCUUUGUUGAUAAAAAAUUCCCUCCUGAGGGGAGUAGCAAAUGACAUCUACCCACUCUUCCUAAGGUUCCAAGGACAAACCAAAAAGGCAGUACGACAACAAUUCUUCUUAGGAUUGAGUUUAUCCGGCUUACUUAUAAACAUGGGUGAGAGGUAAGGAGUGUUGACGACCACAGAGCAGCUGCACUGGAAAGUUUUCUCAUAGCAUAAACUAUGGCUUCCCCUCUUUCUUCCUCCUAAUCUACACUAACCUAUAUACUCUACCUCCUCCCUGACGUCCUGAGGCCAACGUACAAUUAGGGCUGGAUUGAAUACCAUGGCUAGGAGGAGGGGCCAGACACUCAGGUGAGGAUCCAGUGACCCAGCUGAGGUCUUCCUCCUAGGAGGGAAUGUCAUCGGUCCACAGGCCUGACCAUGAUGAACUCUGGAACUUUGGCACAGAUGGUCUCAUGAAGAUGGCGGCAGUUUCCAAGCUUAAAGCUCACUGACUCCUACUGGGCAGUUUGCCUCUGGGAUGAGCCAGGAAUGCAUGCUGGCAGGAAGUAGCCCCAAAGGCUCCACAGAUCAAGACUCUACACUCUGAGUCCCUGCUGUGGACUGAAUUGCAUUCUCCAAAGCAUGUGCAUUCUUGGUGUCCACAGAAGUCAGAAGGCAUCAGUUUCCCUGGAGCAGAAGUUAUGGAUGGUUGUGAGCCACCAUGCGGGUGU